rnacentral:tRNA from 1 species
GGAGAGAUAUCGAAGUGGUUAUAACGGCCCUGACUCGAAAUCAGGUGUACAGCAAUGUACCGAGGGUUCGAAUCCCUCUCUCUCCGCCA